AACUCCUGAGCCCAAGUGAUCCUCCUACCUUGAGCUCCCAAAGUGCUGGGAUUACAAGCACAAUAAGCCACUGUGGCUGGCCACUCUCUUGUAAUUUCCUUUCAACCUUUAAGUGUAUUUUUCUCAUGGGAGUAUGGGAAGAACAGUAUGGUGAUCUGGGCACUCUUUUUAUUUGGAAACAUCUGGAAUUAUCCAAAGACAUGAAAGAUGAAAUAUGAUGACGAGGAUUUGCUUCAAAAUAAUCCAGGAAUGGGAGAUGAGGGUGAAAGUACAGAGGACACAAGAUUCCCUGUAAGCCAAUAAAAUUAUAAUAAUUCUAACCCUGCAUGUAUUUAAUAGUAGGCUAAAAUAUAUAAAGUAAGUCCUACAAAACUUAGUAGAUAUAGAACAAUCCACUAUGAAUAUAGAAGAUGUAAAAACCAUCUUUUCAAGUAUUGCAUAGUUCAAACUG